ACUUUUCAACCCAGGGCUGAGUUCAACCCCGGGGUUGAAAUUUCAGCCCCGGGGUUGAAAUUUCAGCCAAGCAGGGUUGAAAUUUCAACCCCGGGGUUGAACUCAGCCCUGGGUUGAAAA